UACUUGCAUCAUAAUAAGUUUUUUGUGACUUUUCAUGUUCAAGAAAGUCCCGAAACUGUCACAUGACCGCGAGGAAGAACUGUUCAAAACGUGAUUGCAACGAGUGGUGGAUGGAGGUCCUCAAAACAGAAGCCAGCCAUUUCAAAAAUGAAAGAACAUGCCCAGAGCUUAUACAAAACAUGUUGAAACCUGCCAUGCGUGGGGACACAGAUGAAAGACUUCUCCUGUAGCCAGAACAUCUCCUUAGAAGACAAGCUCAAAAAGAACUUCACUUUCUGUGGAGGCUCACGAAGACUGGCAUGUGCUGCUUAUCUGUUAUGUUAUCUGAAUGUGUGUUUGUUUUUAAAUGUCGAUGGAAAAUAUAUUUGUAUAGACAUGCUUUUAGUAGUUUGUGAUGUCUUUUGUGUAUUUUGGGUUUGAUUUAUUUAUUUUUUUCAUAUAUUGUG